rnacentral:misc_RNA from 1 species
GAUGAAGAACGUAGCGAAAUGCGAUAAGUAAUGUGAAUUGCAGAAUUCAGUGAAUCAUCGAAUCUUUGAACGCACAUUGCGCCCGCCAGUAUUCUGGCGGGCAUGCCUGUUCGAGCGUCAUUACAACCCUCAGGCCCCCGGGCCUGGCGUUGGGGAUCGGCGAGGCGCCCCCCGCGGGCACGCGCCGUCCCCCAAAUACAGUGGCGGUCCCGCCGCAGCUUCCAUUGCGUAGUAGCUAACACCUCGCAACUGGAGAGCGGCGCGGCCAUGCCGUAAAACACCCAACUUCUGAAUGUUGACCUCGAAUCAGGUAGGAAUACCCGCUGAACUUAAGCAUAUCAAUAAGCGAGGA